rnacentral:misc_RNA from 1 species
GCGUGGUGUUUUACGGUGUUUUUGAGAUAACAUAGUUUUUGUCAGUAAAUUUGAGACCAUAUAUUUUUACCUGCUUUUUAUAUUCUCGCAAAUAUUUAAUAUAUUGUAUUGAACCAGACCUUUAUCGAAUAAUAUAUGUUGUUAAUUACCACAUUGAGAAGGCUGUCCAUGGCCAAUGUAAAGCCAAGCAUUGUAUUUGUUCUUGGUGGACCUGGAUCAGGCAAAGGAACCCAGUGUGCAAAAAUUAUAAAGGAGUUUGGCUAUGUUCAUCUAUCAGCUGGAGAUCUUUUGAGAACAGAAAGAGAUAUUCCAGGAUCUAGAUAUGGAGACCUCAUUGAAAAACAUAUUCGGAAUGGAACAAUUGUACCUGUUGAAAUUACCUGCAAUCUGUUGCAUGCUGCAAUGAACAACAGUAGAAAAGACAGGUUCCUUAUUGAUGGGUUUCCUCGUAAUCAAGAUAAUUUAGAAGGUUGGAAUCGUGAAAUGGCAGCUAAAGUCAACUUACAGUUUGUUUUGUUCUUUGAUUGUAAUGAACAAGUAUGUAUUGAUCGGUGUUUGAAGAGAGGUUCAUCUGGAAGUGGUCGUUCAGAUGAUAAUGAAGAAAGUUUGAAGAAAAGGUUUAUUACAUAUUUCAAAGAUACUCUGCCAAUUGUUGAUCACUAUCAGAAACAAAACUUGGUUAGGAAAAUUGAUGCCAACAGUUCAGAAGAUACGGUAUUUGAAGAGGUGAAAAAAUGCUUCAAAGAAGUCAUUUCUGUGAGAUCUCUGUGAAAGUCCUAGACAAAGCCAUAAAGAAAGGAAGCUUAGCAAUGAUCAAGGGACCUUUGUGAAUUGCAUCAGCAGAAUCAUAUGAUGCAGUAUGAUUAUUGGAAAGUUUCUUGAUGCUGACUGCUUCAAGAUUCUUCUUAAUACUGGCCUAAAUUUUGAUUGUUGUCUCUGCAAUGGGCAGAUUCUCAAUCCACAGAAGGGGAGAAAGAACAGUGACAAUUUGCCUCAUAUCCUGGGAAUAUCAGAUGUAAUGCCUCACCAAGAAAUUUGUUUGUUUCAAAACUGUAGUUUUUACCUAGUUCUUUGCGACAUGCUGGACACGAAUAGACUUCUGCAUGGAAUGAUCGUUGUAAGCAAACCUGAAGAAAACAAUUUUUUCUUAUAUGCAUAGAUUAACCUCUAAAUCUGUGUCAUUACAAAAAAAUGUCUAUGAUUCACAAUCUAUAGAUAUUGUUACGUCUCCGUUUGUUAAUUAAUUUUCCGUAAAUUCGUUCCGACGAAACUUUAGCGA